GCCCUCCCUCCCCAUGCUGCAUUGCACUCCUCAGUUGUGCCAUCAGGAUAUCGCUUAGUCGUGACUUCUUUGCCAAAGAACUCGUGCCCCCUACCACCAAACUUUCCUCUGCAAAGCUAUAAGAUCUGCUCUGGUUCUGAUGCAAAUCUAAUGACCUUGAUUAAAAACCAGACAAACAUGCAACGCACUUUCCAGAGAGGCAAGAGCAGGACAAGUCUGCCAAGCUCAGUCGUCAGCUUUAGACGAGACAAGUUGAAUUAAAGUCAGAGGGAAACGUGAACACCAGAACAAAAGGAGGACAGUGAGAAUCAUAGAAAAAAAUUGAUGAUUGAAACCAGCUCAGAAGAACCUGUAUGCCUGCUAUGUGUCUGUUUCAAAGACCAACAAUGUCCUAUGGAAACUGGGUUACCCAAAACUUGAAGAGACAGUUAUACAUUUCACGGGUCUGUCCAAAGUCCAGCUCAGCUUGCAGACUUUUUGGCACUCAAGAGUGGCCCAUCAGGACUCCAGAAAGGAACAUAAAGCAGUAGGCAUUCAGCCAUCCCAUACAGUAUCAUCUCAUUGGUCUAAGGUGUGACAAAGCAACAGUCUUCCAUGAUGACAUCCCCAACAAGCACGAACCUGCGUCACUUCCUUCCUGCAGUGAGCAAGCCAAGGUUCCUUUGUGUGUGUACAUGCAAGAGCUGUUUGAAAGAAAACAACCAGCCCCUACAGAAACAAAUUCCGAGCAAGUAUUCAGUUCUGCAGCUGUCAAAGGUGCCUCUGUGUUUCAUUGUUGAUAAAAGUACAGCCCACAAUGACUCAACCAUCCAGGAAGUGGUGGGAUGUUGAGGAAAAGAAAAGAAAAAAGGGGGAGGGGGGAACCUUCUCAAGAUGGGGAUUUCUCCAGACAUGCCAGAUUUCUUUGGCCCAGACAUUGCUGUCAUGAGCCUUACAGCCUUUUAACAUUUGAUUUCCUGCUUUCUUCUCAUCUGGCACAGAGAUUGAACUGAAGUUUUUGAAAAGAGCAUCAUAAAGAAUUUUACAUUGCAGAUCUGACCUGUGAGGGCCAUAAACAGCAUCUCCUUCAUGUGCUGUGAGUUAAAGUGCAGGAGGGAACCGACAUGAGUGCUGUCAUAAAUCUCUCAUUAACCUACAUUUGCCCACUGUGAAAUGAGCAUCGAUUAUUAUUUUUUUCCCUUCACUCCAGCCCUCUCUUGAACUCCUCUGAUGAAGCAAAAGGCAGCUGCCUGAAGGACAAGGGGUGGGGGUUUCAUUUGGAAGCUGA